UCCCUUCGCAAUGGGCAAAGAGACAUCUUGCUUGUUGUUGGUGGUGUUCUUAAAUCAGUCCGGGCAGAGCAGACAACAGUCCUUUGUUCAUCCUAGCUUGAUGCCUGAUUUGGUGACCAAAUCUGUUUUCUGCCUAGGACACAGAA